UGCCAGCAGCCGCGGUAAAACGUAGGAGGCGAGCGUUAUCCGGAUUUACUGGGCGUAAAGCGCACGCAGGCGGCUCGGCAAGUUGGGCGUUAAAGCUCCUGGCUUAACUGGGAGAGGUCGUUCGAAACUACCGGGCUUGAGGUUGGGAGAGGGGUGUGGAAUUCCCGGUGUAGUGGUGGAAUGCGUAGAUAUCGGGAGGAACACCAGUGGCGAAGGCGGCACCCUGGCCCACACCUGACGCUGAGGUGCGAAAGCGUGGGGAGUAAACAGGAUUAGAUACCCUGGUAAUCCACGCCGUAAACGAUGUCAACUGGGUGUCGGUGGUGUUACACUAUCGGUGCCGAAGCAAACGCGUUAAGUUGACCGCCUGGGGACUACGGCCGCAAGGCUAAAACUUAAAGGAAUUGGCGGGGGAU
rnacentral:rRNA from 1 species